rnacentral:rRNA from 1 species
GACGAACGCUGGCGGCGUGCCUAAUACAUGCAAGUCGAGCGGAUGAAAGAGGAGCUUGCUCCUCUAGAUUCAGCGGCGGACGGGUGAGUAACACGUGGGCAACCUGCCCUGUAGAUUGGGAUAACUCCGGGAAACCGGGGCUAAUACCGAAUAAUCCUUCGGACCUCAUGGUCCGAUGUUGAAAGACGGUUUCGGCUGUCACUACAGGAUGGGCCCGCGGCGCAUUAGCUAGUUGGUGAGGUAACGGCUCACCAAGGCCACGAUGCGUAGCCGACCUGAGAUGGUGAUCGGCCACACUGGGACUGAGACACGGCCCAGACUCCUACGGGAGGCAGCAGUAGGGAAUCUUCCGCAAUGGACGAAAGUCUGAUGGAGCAACGCCGCGUGAGUGAAGAAGGUUCUCGGAUCGUAAAACUCUGUUGUGAGGGAAGAACAAGUACCGGAGUAACCGCCGGUGCCUUGACGGUACCUCAUUAGAAAGCCACGGCUAACUACGUGCCAGCCGCCGCCGUAA